UAAAAUCUGAUAUUUGUAACUGUUCAUUGAAAUAACAAGUGUGAAUUUACAAAACAACGUGACGUUUUCUCUUUCCCAGCAAACAGAAUGCCAGUGUAUCCACAUAGAUCUCACUGUCAAGGCAAACAAAACAGACGCAGAAGAGAAAACCUGUUCUCUGGAAUACUUUAUAAAAGGAUUGGAACACCUUAAGAACCUUAGUACCCUUAAGAAUACUUCCGGUCCUUACAUCUUUAAGCUUUGGAGAGCCGUGCGCAGUCUAAACAUAUCAGGGUGCCAGGAUAAUCCUGGAAACAUGACGAAUUGCGAGCAUGUUAUAUCACCAGCAACAUUUCUAGGACUUUUGGAACAAGUGUUUCAAC
rnacentral:lncRNA from 1 species